rnacentral:lncRNA from 1 species
CAGAAGGAGACAGAAACAGAGAAAGAAAGAUAGAAAGAGACAAAGAUAGGAAAAAAGAGACAGAGAUAGAGACAGAAAAUGAUAGCCAGAGACAGAAAGACAGACACAGAGAAAAAACAGAGACAGAGAGACAGAUAGAGAUAGAGACAGAAAGAGUCAGAGAUAGAGAAAGAGAGAGAAAGAGAGAAACAGAAAGAGACAGAGAAAGACAGAGAGAAAGAGACAGAAAGAUAGAGACAGAGACAGAGACAGAGAGAGAUAGAAACAGAAAGAGACAAAGAGACAGAAAGACAGAGACAGAGAAAGAGACAGAAAGAGAGAGAGAGACAGAAAGACAGAAACAGAGAAAGACAGAGACAGAGAAAGAGAAAGACAGAGACAGAGAUAAAGAGAAAGAAAGAUAGAAAGAGAGAGAAAGAGGAAAAGAUAGAAAAAG